AUUUUCGCUAAGGCCAAAGUCGGCGUCCCUUUUGGCAAAAGCCCUUUGCCCCUUCUCCAUCUCCUCUUCUUCUUCUUCAGCUUUUACAGAAGAGAGCGAGGUAGAACAGGGGAAGAAGAUACAGUAUCUAUAGGAUUGAAACUGAGGUGGGUUCAGAUUAGUUAGGUAGAUUUCAAUGGAUUCAGAUCAAGGUAAGCUUUUCAUUGGUGGGAUUUCUUGGGAUACUUCAGAAGAUAAACUGAAGGAGUAUUUUGGGAACUAUGGGGAGGUAUCGCAGACUGUGAUCAUGCGCGAUAAGAUUACUGGGAGGCCGAGAGGAUUUGGUUUUGUUGUGUUUUCGGAUCCCGCGGUCCUCGAUAGGGUUCUUCAGGAGAAGCACACCAUCGAUGGGAGAACGGUUGAAGCUAAAAGGGCUUUGUCAAGAGAGGAACAACACACUUCCUCUAGGUCUGGAAACCCUAAUGCUGGCCGAAAUCUUGGAAGUGGGGGCAAUACUAGGACCAAGAAAAUAUUUGUGGGAGGUUUGCCUCCCACUUUAUCAGAAGAUGGAUUCCGUCAGUAUUUUGAGACAUAUGGCCAUGUAACUGAUGUAGUAGUAAUGUAUGAUCAGACUACCCAACGUCCUCGUGGAUUUGGUUUCAUCUCCUUUGAUUCGGAGGAAGCUGUUGAUAGAGUCCUGCACAAGACUUUCCAUGAAUUGAAUGGUAAACUAGUUGAAGUCAAGCGCGCGCUUCCAAAAGAUGCAAACCCUGGAGGUGGCGGCCGUGCAAUGGGUGGUGGGAACUAUCAGGGAUAUGGUUCUUCUGGUGGUAAUGCAAGUUCAUAUGAUGGGCGGGUGGAUGCCACUAGAUACAUGCAACCUCAAACAGCCGGAGGUGGUUACCCGGCAUAUGGCUCUUCAGGCUAUGGUGCACCUGGAUAUGGAUAUGGUGCAGCAAAUAAUGGUGUUGGGUAUGGUAGUUAUGGUGUUGGUGGCUAUGGUGGUGCCAGUGCUGGGUAUGGUGGCCCUGCUGGGGCUUAUGGAAAUCCUAAUGCUCCAAGUGCUGGUUAUCUGAAUGGCCCUCCUGGUGGCCCAAGAAGUCCGUGGAGUAAUCAAGCUCCUUCUGGAUAUGGUUCCACGGGCUAUGGUGCUAAUGCAGGUUAUGGGACCGCAGCUCCAUGGAAUGCUACAGGGGCUGGUGGCGCUGCUAGUAGUGGAGGUUCUGUUUCUGCAUCUACAGGGCAGUCUCCAAGUGGAGCUGCCAGCUAUGGUAAUCAAGGUUACGGUUAUGGUGGUUAUGGUGGAGGAGAUGGAUCUUAUGCUAACCCAGGUGGAUAUGGUGCUGUUGGAGGACGUGCUGGUAGUGCCCCAAGCAGCAAUGCUCCCACUGGUGCGGGUGGGGGAGAACAAGGGACUGGUGGUGGCUACAUGGGAAGUGGUUAUGGUGAUGCUAAUGGUAGUUCAGGGUAUCCAAAUGCUGUUUGGAGGUCCGAUGCUUCACAAGGAGGUUAUGGAACUGGCCAAGCAAACGGACCUCCAGGUGGGCAGGUUGGUUAUGGUGGUGGUUAUGGUGGUGCUCAGGCCAGACAGGCACAACAGCAGUAAUCCUGACUACUUGGUUGCUGGGUAUUGGCUCAGUUUUUCAAAUGGAUCUUCCUAUGGGACUGCCCCUCAUCUCAUACAUGAAGCGAUCGUACAUGUGGAUGGCAGCAGAUUUUGGGACUGGUUGGGUUUCUCAAAUCCCAGUAGUUUGCGGAGGAGAGGGAGAUGCCCGUCGUCUGAAUGGGAACCAGGUGUCUACCCUCGUGGGCGAUAUCAAAAGGUUUUUAAUGGGGGUUUGUGGCGUGGAAUGGCAUUUAAGGAAGACUUGUACGAUUUGCCCGACACAUUAAAGCAAGGCAUGGAGGGUCAGAUCUGGCCAACAACACUGUCAAACUUCCAGGAGUCUUCAGAUACAUCAUGAAGAUCCUUGGGGAGUCUACAAAUCUGAUCGACCUGUGGUAUGUCUACUAAAUGGGUUAUAUGGUGGUUCUAUGUUUUACAUUUUGCACUUUGGUGCUCUUUCUGUCUCUGAAGAUAUUCCUAACAACAAUCACCGUCUCAAGAUCCUCUCUUGUUGAAAUUGUUUGAGCUGAUUGAUGUGGUGUGUGUGACCUAAUGAACUUUCAUUCCCUUAUUUCCUUUAGUGAAUUUAAAUCUAGUUAGUUCUUUCUCAA